AUUGAACGCUGGCGGCAUGCCUUACACAUGCAAGUCGAACGGUAGAGGGGGCAACCCCUCGAGAGUGGCGAACGGGUGAGUAAAGCAUCGGAACGUGCCCAGUAGUGGGGGAUAGCCCGGCGAAAGCCGGAUUAAUACCGCAUGAGACCUACGGGUGAAAGGGGGGGAUCGCAAGACCUCUCGCUAUUGGUGCGGCCGAUGGCAGAUCAGGUAGUUGGUGGGGUAAAGGCCCACCAAGCCAACGAUCUGUAGCUGGUCUGAGAGGACGACCAGCCACACUGGGACUGAGACACGGCACAGACUCCUACGGGAGGCAGCAGUGGGGAAUUUUGGACAAUGGACGCAAGUCUGAUCCAGCCAUGCCGCGUGCGGGAAGAAGGCCUUCGGGUUGUAAACCGCUUUUGUCGGGGAAGAAACGCUCUGGGUUAAUACCUCGGGGUAAUGACGGUACCUGAAGAAUAAGCACCGGCUAACUACGUGCCAGCAGCCGCGGUAACAC
rnacentral:rRNA from 1 species